rnacentral:rRNA from 1 species
UACGUAGGGACCAAGCGUUGUUCGGAUUUACUGGGCGUAAAGCGCACGUAGGCGGACUACUAAGUCAGGGGUGAAAUCCCGGGGCUCAACCCCGGAACUGCCUUUGAUACUGAGAGUCUCGAGUCCGGAAGAGGUGAGUGGAAUUCCGAGUGUAGAGGUGAAAUUCGUAGAUAUUCGGAGGAACACCAGUGGCGAAGGCGGCUCACUGGUCCGGUACUGACGCUGAGGUGCGAAAGCGUGGGGAGCAAACAGG